CCUACGGGUGGCAGCAGUGAGGAAUAUUGGUCAAUGGCCGCAAGUCUGAACCAGCCAUGCCGCGUGCAGGACGACGGUUCCAUGAGUUGUAAACUGCUUUUGUACGAGGGUAAAAUCCGACACGUGUACCUGACUGAAAGUACUGUACGAAUAAGGAUCGGCUAACUCCGUGCCAGCAGCCGCGGUAAUACGGAGGAUUCAAGCGUUAUCCGGAUUUAUUGGGUUUAAAGGGUGCGUAGGCGGUCCGGUAAGUUAGGGGUGAAAUCCCGGGGCUCAACCCCGGCAGUGCCUCUGAUACUGGCGGGCUAGAGUUUAGGUGCGGUAGGCGGAAUGUGUGGUGUAGCGGUGAAAUGCUUAGAGAUCAUACAGAACACCGAUUGCGAAGGCAGCAUACC
rnacentral:rRNA from 1 species